AAGCGCUCAUGACCAGACUUGGGCUUGGUUGAUCAUCCAGGGUUCUCCCUGGUGCACUCUUCCAGCUCAGGCCAGCAUCAGUUCGCCGCGGGGGAUAAAGGCUUUGGGAAUGUGGCUCCCCCGGGAGUGUUAUAGCCCACUGCGUAAUACCCUGUAGUGGACUGAGGUUCGCGCAUCUGCAAGGAUGCUGGCAUAAUGGUCAUCAGCGA
rnacentral:rRNA from 1 species